ACAAAUAAGAUAAUUUCAGAUGCUGCUAAGUUUUACAAAAACACAUUUUGUAACACAAGAGACCUCCGAAGUGUUUCUUGAGGAAAUGUGGCUGCAGACCCUAGAAGAAGCUACACAGCACUUGCCAGGGCUGGGAUGAUGUCCAGGCCAUGGAAACACCGUGUACCUGGUCCCAGGAAGAUGAAGUGUGGGCCCAGAGACUAAUGGCUUGAGCAUCUCAGGCUAAGGUUGCCGAGAAGUAGACAGCACCUCUAGAUCCUAGUCAACAUCUCUACAGGCUUGAAGUCUCCCCAGAGGGCAAGGUUGGAAUAAAUCUGAAGCCUGUGGCUUGCCUGGGAGCUGCCCAGACUGUGGCAUCUGGGGAGUGACUUUUUAAUUUUAAUUUUAUUUUGAGACAGAGUCUUG
rnacentral:lncRNA from 10 species